rnacentral:sRNA from 12 species
AAUGAUACUUCUGCAAGGCAAUGCAGCCCGCAUGAUGGCGGGAUAUGUAUGUUCCGGGUUGGAAAUAAUAUCCGUUACGGCAUAU